rfam:Providencia burhodogranariea DSM 19968 genomic scaffold scaffold00002, whole genome shotgun sequence.
GUGAGAUGCUAAAUUAGAGAUUGGCUCUCAUUACAUACAUUUAUACAUUUUUUUGGAGUUUAUUAUGUCUCUAAGUACUGAAGCGAAAGCAAAAAUCGUUGCUGAAUUUGGCCGCGGUGAA